AUGGAGGUGGACUGCCUGGAGUUGGUGACACUCUGGAACACUCGUCACAAUUCCCGUUCAAUUGUGGCACCUAUCUUACAAGAAAUAUGAGAGCUAGUUCAUAAUUUUCCGUUUUUUGAUAUACAUCAUGUAAAUCGCGAGGCCAACCUACCGGCACAUCUUUGUGCAAAACGUGCUUGCACUCUGUCUGUGACCGAUAGUUGGCUCGACGAGACUCCCCAAUUUCUGGUAACCAGCCUUCUCGCUGAUUGUCCAGGAAACACAUUCAUGCAAUAA
rnacentral:rRNA from 1 species